rnacentral:misc_RNA from 1 species
GAUGAAGAACGUAGCGAAAUGCGAUAAGUAGUGUGAAUUGCAGAAUUCAGUGAAUCAUCGAAUCUUUGAACGCACAUUGCGCCCCUUGGUAUUCCAUGGGGCAUGCCUGUUCGAGCGUCAUUUGUACCUUCAAGCUCUGCUUGGUGUUGGGUGUUUGUCUCACCUCUGCGUGUAGACUCGCCUCAAAACAAUUGGCAGCCGGCGUAUUGAUUUCGGAGCGCAGUACAUCUCGCGCUUUGCACUCAUAACGACGACGUCCAAAAGUACAUUUUUACACUCUUGACCUCGGAUCAGGUAGGGAUACCCGCUGAACUUAAGCAUAUCAAUAAGCGGAGGA